ACCUGCGGAAGGAUCAUUGUCGUGACCCUGACCAAAAUAGACUGUGAAUGUGUACAUCCAUGUUGCCGGUUGGCAGGUUUCACACUUGUCUUCUGGUUUUGGCAAUUGACCUUCUUUCGGAGGCAGUGUCCACAAAAGAACUAUGGCGCCGUGUGGUGUCAAGGAAUAUUAGGGUUGCCUUGCUUUUCGGUCACAUCCGGCUAGCUGGCUGUGGCCUAAGCAGUGUUGCUAGAUUAAUUCACAUGACUCUCGGCAACGGAUAUCUUGGCUCUUGCAUCGAUGAAGAACGUAGCAAAAUGCGAUACCUGGUGUGAAUUGCAGAAUCCCGUGAACCAUCAAGUCUUUGAACGCAAGUUGCGCCCGAGGCCUUUUGGUCGAAGGCACGUCUGCCUGGGUGUCAUGCCAAAUGACACUCCCCACCAUUCAAGGUGAUGGAUGUGGUGUUUGGCCUCUCGCGCUGCAUGUGGUGCGGUGGGCUGAAGUUUGGGCUGCCGGCGGUGCCGAUCAGCAGCACCUUGUGGAUGACCGAUGUUGUUCUCAGUGCGUGUUGAUAUGGACCUAUUCCGGUGUGAUGUUGUGGCCCUUCUAGACCCAUGGAUUGAGAUGACAGCUGCUCGUAUCACGACCCCAGGUCAGUCGGGAUUACCCGCUGAAUUUAAGCAUAUCAAUAAGCGG
rnacentral:rRNA from 1 species